UACGUAGGGGGCAAGCGUUUGUCCGGAAUCAUUGGGCGUAAAGAGCGUGUAGGCGGUCCGAUAAGUCCGCUCUGAAAGCCCGGGGCUCAACCCCGGGAGGCGGGCGGAUACUGUCGGGCUAGAGUCCGGAAGAGGCAAGUGGAAUUCCUGGUGUAGCGGUGAAAUGCGCAGAUAUCAGGAAGAACACCCGUGGCUAAGGCGGCUCUCUAGUACGGUACUGACGCUGAGACGCGAAAAGCGUGGGGAGCGAACAGG
rnacentral:rRNA from 1 species